UACAGAGGUGGCAAGCGUUAUCCGGAUUCACUGGGUUUAAAGGGUGCGUAGGUGGGUUGGUAAGUCAGUGGUGAAAUCCCCGAGCUUAACUUGGGAACUGCCAUUGAUACUAUCAGUCUUGAAUAUUGUGGAGGUUAGCGGAAUAUGUCAUGUAGCGGUGAAAUGCUUAGAUAUGACAUAGAACACCAAUUGCGAAGGCAGCUGGCUACGCAUAUAUUGACACUGAGGCACGAAAGCGUGGGGAUCAAACAGG
rnacentral:rRNA from 1 species